GGUUGGAUAGGAAAGUGGUCUAAUCCGCCAGUUUAAGGUCGAUUUAUCGUUCUUAAAUCACUGGUCCGUCCCGGGCGUGGGUUCGAAUCCCACUCCAAUCA